rfam:Toxocara canis scaffold130, whole genome shotgun sequence.
GCUUUCGUAGCUCAGUCGGUAGAGCAUCAGACUUUUAGUCUCAGGGUCGUGGGUUCGAGUCGCACAAAAGGCG